rnacentral:rRNA from 1 species
CCUACGGGGGGCAGCAGUGAGGAAUAUUGGUCAAUGGGCGCGCGCCUGAACCAGCCAAGUCGCGUGAGGGAUGAAUGUUCUAUGGAUCGUAAACCUCUUUUAUAUGUGGAUAAAGUGUGGGACGUAUCCUAUUUUUUAUGUACCUUAUGAAUAAGGAUCGGCUAACUCCGUGCCAGCAGCCGCUGUAAUACGGCGGAUGCGAGCGGUAUCCGGCUUUAUUUGGUUUAAAGGGUGUGUAGGCGGGCGUUUAAGUUAGUUGGUAAAGUCUGGGGCUCAACCAUAGAAUGGCCGUUGAAACUGGGUGGCUUGAGUACGAGAGAGGCAGGCGGAAUGAGUGGGGUAGCGGUGAAAUGCUGAGAUAUAGCGCAGAACCCCGAUUGCGAAGGCAGCCU